AUUGAACGCUGGCGGCAGGCCUAACACAUGCAAGUCGAGCGGAUGAAGGGAGCUUGCUCUUGGAUUCAGCGGCGGACGGGUGAGUAAUGCCUAGGAAUCUGCCUGGUAGUGGGGGAUAACGUCCGGAAACGGGCGCUAAUACCGCAUACGUCCUGAGGGAGAAAGUGGGGGAUCUUCGGACCUCACGCUAUCAGAUGAGCCUAGGUCGGAUUAGCUAGUUGGUGGGGUAAAGGCCUACCAAGGCGACGAUCCGUAACUGGUCUGAGAGGAUGAUCAGUCACACUGGAACUGAGACACGGUCCAGACUCCUACGGGAGGCAGCAGUGGGGAAUUUUGGACAAUGGGCGAAAGCCUGAUCCAGCCAUGCCGCGUGUGUGAAGAAGGUCUUCGGAUUGUAAAGCACUUUAAGUUGGGAAGAAGGGCAGUAAGUUAAUACCUUGCUGUUUUGACGGUACCAACAGAAUAAGCACCGGCUAACUUCGUG
rnacentral:rRNA from 1 species